UACGUAGGGGGCGAGCGUUGUCCGGAUUCAUUGGGCGUAAAGAGCUCGUAGGCGGCUUGUCAAGUCGGGUGUGAAAACUCCAGGCUCAACCUGGAGACGCCACUCGAGACUGUCAUGGCUAGAGUCCGGUAGGGGAUCACGGAAUUCCUGGUGUAGCGGUGAAAUGCGCAGAUAUCAGGAGGAACACCUAUUGCGAAGGCAGCUCGCUGGGACGUUACUGACGCUGAGACGCGAAAGCGUGGGGAGCAAACAGG
rnacentral:rRNA from 1 species